UGGCUGAGUGGUUAAGCGCUCGGCUUCCGAACCUGAGGUCCUGGGUUCGAAUCCCGG
rnacentral:tRNA from 1 species